rnacentral:tRNA from 1 species
CAGGGAGUAGUUUAAGUAGAAUUU